ACAGAGGGGGCAAGCGUUGUUCGGAAUUACUGGGCGUAAAGGGCGCGUAGGCGGCCUGCUAAGUCGAACGUGAAAUCCCUGGGCUCAACCCAGGAACUGCGUCCGAUACUGGUUGGCUUGAAUCCGGGAGAGGGACGUGGAAUUCCAGGUGUAGCGGUGAAAUGCGUAGAUAUCUGGAGGAAUACCGAUGGCGAAGGCAGCCCCCUGGCCUGAUACUGACGCUGAGGUGCGAAAGCAUGGGGAGCAAACAGGA
rnacentral:rRNA from 1 species